CCUCACUUCAACUCUCUCCUUAGCCGUAACCUCUACCCCAUCUCUAAUCUUCUCCUAUCUUUUUCCUCGAUGGCACACGAACCAGAGAGCCCAAACCCUCUAUGACCAACACACCUUCAGUCGCAUCCUCCAUCGAACCAAACGAGGAACAAAACUGACCCCUAAACAAAACAAAACUAAAGCUCCUCUUCUCCACUCUUGUACUCUUAUCUUCUUUUCCGCCGAAAGCCUUAAGGGCUUCAACUCACGCCAUAAAUCAGCGACCUUCGCCUCUCCGACCUCUGCAUGACAAAACCAAAAGGCCCCUAACAACUAUUGCUCCCUCUUCUACUUUCUUCUUCUACUCGAGAGAAAACAAAAGUCACUCAAACCCCCACUGUUUUGGGACCUAACCAUCCGACCACGUAGCCUCUCAACCACGAGGACAACCACUCCGGCAGUAAAAGCUCGCAACAAUAAAGAUGCAAAACAACUCACCACGAUCUCACCCAACUUCGGCGACAAAUGCUCCGACAACGACGGGACAACAAGCGAGGAAGGUGCCCUUUGACGUAGGCGAUGACAAAAUUCAAUAACUUGGUGGUUUCUUCAUUCAGUUCGGGUCCUCUCUAGCAAGAUAUCAUGGUUGAUUCAUCUUCAUUCAUCCGUCUGUUCACGACACCAUCCACGCCAAAUGAACCAAUUCGUUAUUUCACUUCUUCAACUAUCAUCAGUGUCGAUGCCGCUGUUGCUAUUGUGGAGUUUGGAUGGGGGCAAGUUCGGUUGUCACACGUGUCACCCUUAUGCGUGGACUUCGUUUGUCGUUUGAAGAUUAGUCUAAACCCAAUCUGUACCCGAUUCGUUUCAGCUCAGCCUAUGAUUCGUGUCUUUUUCCUAAGUCUCAAAAGAAGAUCAAGGUGUAGGAUCAUGCAAGACAAAAGGAAAAGCUCAAGAGCAUAGCUUCAUAUAGUCUUUUUGGUAUUUUGGUAAGAUAUUAUAAGGUGAGUGCAUUUAUGUUAUUUUUGGUCAAAAUUAUGAUCAGUGGAGGCUUGUAAUAAGCCUCCCAUGGUUCAUGUUCCACGCACAAAUAUAGGUAUGAUAAUCUAUAUAAUUAGUUCACAUGAACAAGGAAUGAUAAUAUGAUUUCUAUGUCAUUAAGUAUUGCAAGAAGUAAUGUUAUGUUAUGAAAAUGGGUCAUAAUUCACCCGAUAAUUAUCCAUGUGUAGUUCUCACUCAUAAAUGCAAUUUGUAAGAAAUAAAAUUUCCCAGGUAACCUAUAUAGUGGUCUUAUGAUACAUCAGCAUGUCUAGGGUCGACAUUCAGGUUCAUCCACUAUACAUGAGCAUUUUGUUGGUGCGAGUUUAGUACUUUGGUGUGUUGGCACCUUUGGGUUUGUCCAUCUUGCGUGAGUAUUCCGCUUGAUGUUAAGUUAACACUACGGUGCAUUUGGACCGACAAGUUAAUACACCCUUGCGAAAUAAGUCUCGCUUUGGUGUUGAGUUUAUGGCAUUUAUGCUAAUGUUAUUGGCAUCUGUCACCUCGUGCACUUUUAAUGAUACAGUGAAUAAUAACAAGUCAAACAUGAUAACUUAAUGUUCAGGAUUUUCAUGAAUGACAUAUUAUCAUAAAUAAAAACUAUGCAUGCUAGUUCAUACCUUACUUCAAAGCUUAUGCUAUGUUUCAUAAACGUCAUGUUUAAACUAUGUUACUUGCUGUUUUCUUUAUUCCUCACGAAGUUUGAAAGUUAGCAUGUGUUUGUUGUCCUUUCACACGUAGGUGAUUCAAGUUGAUCGUGAGUUGUUUUAGCCAUUGUAUCAUCAAAGAAAGGUUAUUGAAAGCUAUCAAUGUAGAGGUUCUUUUUGUAUGCUUUGAGGUCUAGUGACAUGUAUAU